rnacentral:lncRNA from 1 species
GUGGCGCUUCUGUUUUUGUCUGUACUUCAGUGGUGCAGUUCAGUCUCUGCACUACCGGGGUGCAGGAAGCAGUUUUGUGACUGAUGGAAACCAAGCACUGUGUAGAGAGCAAUACUUAGGAUGUGGAUACAAGGUUCCAGUUGCUGGCUUUGUUUGGUGCUGUCUUUCUCAAACAAGUAGCAUGAACUAAUCAGGCCACUUUUGUGAGUGAGUGAAGAUUACAGAGAGAAUGUUAUGUUACAAGUUUUAAGAAUUUCAUGACACAAUCAACUUACCAAGCUGUCCUAGAGAAACAAACUCUAGCAUAAAAUGUAAGUACUGUAGAGACAGUUCCAUUUCUGCCAAAGGUGAGCAACACUGUCAAGUUCAAAAGUGAAUUGGCAGUCACUCUGGUUUUACACUGCAUUUAAGAGAAUAAUAGUUUCAUAUGCCAG